GGUGCACACCUUUAAUCCCAGCACUUGAGAGGCAGAGGCCAGCCUGGUGCACAGAGCUAGUUCCAGGACAGCCAAGACUAUUACACAGUGAAGCCCUUUCUCUGAAAACAAACAAACAAAACCUUGCUAUGCAUGUAAUAGUGACCUUGAAUUACUGAUUCUCCUGCCUUCACUUUCUGAAUGCUAAUAUUGCAGGCAUGUGACACCAGGCCUAGCUUUACAUGGUGCUGAAGACUGAACUCAAGGUUUUGUGUACACACUCUGCCCAGUGAGCCGUAUCCCCAACUCUACAUUCCCUGCCUUUAGCUGAGACAACGUUUUCUCAGGAAAGCUGGAGAGACAGCCCUGUGUUUCCCAAGUUGAGUUUGAAGGACCUUGGGCCACCCACGAGGGAGUAUGCAAUAGGCAUAGAAACAAAAUGACUCCUGGAAACUUUGAACUUUGCUCCUGGAAUAAGUCCUUGUACACACUUCCAUCUUGCUUUUCUUACUUACCCCCAAAUGAGGUUUUGUGUUAUUAG
rnacentral:lncRNA from 1 species